rnacentral:rRNA from 1 species
UCCAGACUCCUACGGGAGGCAGCAGUGGGGAAUAUUGCACAAUGGGGGAAACCCUGAUGCAGCGACGCCGCGUGAGUGAAGAAGUAUUUCGGUAUGUAAAGCUCUAUCAGCAGGGAAGAAAAUGACGGUACCUGACUAAGAAGCCCCGGCUAACUACGUGCCAGCAGCCGCGGUAAUACGUAGGGGGCAGGCGUUAUCCGGAUUUACUGGGUGUAAAGGGAGCGUAGACGGCAUGGCAAGUCAGGAGUGAAAGCCCGGGGCCCAACCCCGGGACUGCUCUUGGAACUGCGUGGCUGGAGUGCAGGAGGGGCAGGCGGAACUCCUGGUGUAGCGGUGAAAUGCGUAGAUAUCAGGAGGAACACCGGCGGCGAAGGCGGCCUGCUGGACCGUGACUGACGUUGAGGCUCGAGAGCGUGGGGAGCACACAGGAUUAGAUACCCCGGUAC